rnacentral:rRNA from 1 species
CCCUUAGAUGUCCUGGGCCGCACGCGCGUUACACUGAUGCAUUCAACGAGCUUAUAACCUUGGCCGAGAGGCCUGGGCAAUCUUGUUAACGUGCAUCGUGAUAGGGAUAGAUUAUUGAAAUUAUUAAUCUUGAACGAGGAAUUCCUAGUAAACGCAGAUCAUCAAUCUGCAUUGAUUACGUCCCUGCCCUUUGUACACACCGCCCGUCGCUACUACCGAUUGAAUGGUUUAGUGAGACCCUCGGAUUCGUCCCAGCACAGUGGGUUUCUGCUGAGCUGGUGCGCGGAGAAGACGGUCGAACUUGAUCAUUUAGAGGAAGUAAAAGUCGUAACA